rnacentral:tRNA from 1 species
GCCUGGCUGGCUCCAUCAGUAGAGCCUGUGACUCUUGAUCUCAAGGUCAUGAGUUCAAAUCUCCUGUUAGGUG